UACGUAGGCAGCGAGCGUUGUUCGGAGUUACUGGGCGUAAAGGGUGUGUAGGCGGUCCUCUAAGUUUGGUGUGAAAUCUCCCGGCUCAACCGGGAGGGUGCGCCGAAAACUGGGGGGCUAGAGUGCGGGAUGGGUAAGUGGAAUUCCUGGUGUAGCGGUGAAAUGCGUAGAUAUCAGGAGGAACACCUGUGGUGUAGACGGCUUACUGGACCGCAACUGACGCUGAGGCGCGAAAGCCAGGGGAGCGAACGGG
rnacentral:rRNA from 1 species